rnacentral:rRNA from 1 species
AGCUUAUCUUGCGCAGCUUAGGUGGGAGGCUAUGAACCUUUUCUUCUGGGAAGAGGGGAGCCAUCAGUGAGAUACCACUCUUGGUAAGCUAGAGCGCUCAGUCUUCACCGUCAUCCGGUAAGACGACAGUUUCAGGCGGGCAGUUUGACUGGGGCAGUCACCUCCCAAAAGGUAAUGGAGGUGUGCAAAGGUUCCCUCAGGCUGGACGGAAAUCAGCCAUAGAGUGUAAAAGCAUAAGGGAGCUUGACUGCGAGACUGACAUGUCAAGCAGGGACGAAAGUCGGCUUUAGUGAUCCGACGGUGCUGUGUGGAAAGGCCGUCGCUCAACGGAUAAAAGUUACUCUAGGGAUAACA